GAUGAACGCUAGCUACAGGCUUAACACAUGCAAGUCGAGGGGUAACGAGAGGAAAGCUUGCUUUCCUUGUCGACGACCGGCGCACGGGUGAGUAACGCGUAUCCAACCUGCCCCCAACUCAGGAAUAACCUUGCGAAAGUAAGACUAAUAUCUUAUAAUUUCCUCAGAUGACAUCUGACGAGGAAUAAAGAUUUAUCGGUUGUGGAUGGGGAUGCGUCUGAGAGCUUGUUGGCGGGGUAACGGCCCACCGAGGCAACGAUCAGUAGGGGUUCCGUGAGGAAGGUCCCCCACAUUGGAACUGAGACACUGUCCAAACUCCUACGGGAGGCAGCAGUGAGGAAUAUUGUUCCAUGGGCGGAGGCCUGAACCAGCCAAGUAGCGUGCAGGAUGACUGCCCUAUGGGUUUUAAACUGCUUUUAUACAGGAAUAAAAUUAGCCACGUGUGGUUAUUUGUAGGUACUGUAUGAAUAAGGACCGGCUAAGUCCGUGCCAGCCGCCGCAGUAA
rnacentral:rRNA from 1 species